GACGAACCGUGCGAACGUUAUUCGGAAUCACUGGGCUUAAAGCGCGUGUAGGCGGGACGGCACGUCGGUCGGCUGAAAUCCCCCGGCUCAACCGGGGAACGGGCGCCGAUACGACCGCCCUGGAGGGCGUAGGGGGACCUGGAACUUCCGGUGGAGCGGUGAAAUGCGUUGAGAUCGGAAGGAACGCCCGUGGCGAAAGCGAGGUCCUGGACGCUUACUGACGCUGAGACGCGAAAGCCGGGGAGCGAACGGG
rnacentral:rRNA from 1 species